CCCUUAGAUGUUCUGGGCCGCACGCGUGCUACACUGAACGGUUCAAUGGGUAAGGUAGUGCGAAAGCAUGACCUAAUCUCGAAAUCCGUUCGUGCUGGGGAUAGAAGCUUGCAAUUAUCCUUCUUGAACGAGGAAUACCUUGUAAGCGUGAGUCAUCAUCUCACGCUGAGUACGUCCCUGCCCUUUGUACACACCGCCCGUCGCUCCUACCGAUUGAGUGUUCCGGUGAGGCUUCGGGAGAACUGGGUGGAUUGUGUUUCACAAACUGCUCGGUUUGAACUUAGUCAAACCUUAUCACUUAGAGGAAGGAGAAGUCGUAACA
rnacentral:rRNA from 1 species